rnacentral:snRNA from 1 species
AGAUGUGGGGGCAAUUUGGCUGAGACAUCUGUCACCCCAUUGAUUGCCAGGGUUGAUUUGGCUGCUCCUCCCUCGAUACUUUCUAUCAUGCUUCCCUCCUGAAGCUGUGGCUCGGUUGAAGAGGAUGACCUUCCCUGACAGAGGAGGGCCAGUCUUUGGUCAAGGGUAUAUGAGUAGCUGUGCUUUUCUAUUAGAAACUCCAAACAAGCUCUCAAGACUCAGAGAGAUAUAAUGGCUUAAAGUGUAGCCCAUUUACAAAGGAUGAACAUUUU